UUCUGUUUCAAGAUCCUCCGUGAAUAUGAUGGUUCUUUAUGAAGUGGGUUACUGAUUAUGGCAUGAAUAUGUGAGUUGGUUUACCUCUGUGAAAAUAAAUUUCGGUUUCUUGAAUUUAUGGCCGAGAAUGGGUUGUGGAAGAACUGUUGAUUUGGUAGAUUAUAAAUACUUGCAGGUAUUCUGGAGCGAUUGUGAGAGUUCUUGAAAUUGGGAUUCGAG
rnacentral:lncRNA from 1 species